rnacentral:rRNA from 1 species
GAGUUUGAUCAUGGCUCAGGAUGAACGCUGGCGUGCUUAACACAUGCAAGUCGAACGAACCUUCGGGUUAGUGGCGGACGGGUGAGUAACGCGUGAGAAUCUGCCCUCAGGAGGGGGAUAACAGCUGGAAACGGCUGCUAAUACCCCAUAUGCCGCGAGGUGAAAUGAAUUUCGCCUGAGGAUGAGCUCGCGUCUGAUUAGCUAGUUGGUGUAGGUAAUGGCUCACCAAGGCAUCGAUCAGUAGCUGGUCUGAGAGGAUGAUCAGCCACACUGGGACUGAGACACGGCCCAGACUCCUACGGGAGGCAGCAGUGGGGAAUUUUCCGCAAUGGGCGAAAGCCUGACGGAGCAACGCCGCGUGAGGGAUGAAGGCCUCUGGGCUGUAAACCUCUUUUAUCAAGGAAGAAGAUCUGACGGUACUUGAUGAAUAAGCCACGGCUAAUUCCGUGCCAGCAGCCGCGGUAAUACGGGAGUGGCAAGCGUUAUCCGGAAUUAUUGGGCGUAAAGCGUCCGCAGGCGGCCCUUCAAGUCUGCUGUUAAAAAGUGGAGCUUAACUCCAUCAUGGCAGUGGAAACUGAGGGGCUUGAGUGUGGUAGGGGCAGAGGGAAUUCCCGGUGUAGCGGUGAAAUGCGUAGAUAUCGGGAAGAACACCAGUGGCGAAGGCGCUCUGCUGGGCCAUCACUGACGCUCAUGGACGAAAGCCAGGGGAGCGAAAGGGAUUAGAUACCCCUGUAGUCCUGGCCGUAAACGAUGAACACUAGGUGUCGGGGGAAUCGACCCCCUCGGUGUCGUAGCCAACGCGUUAAGUGUUCCGCCUGGGGAGUACGCACGCAAGUGUGAAACUCAAAGGAAUUGACGGGGGCCCGCACAAGCGGUGGAGUAUGUGGUUUAAUUCGAUGCAACGCGAAGAACCUUACCAGGGUUUGACAUCCUGCGAAUCUCUUGGAAACGAGAGAGUGCCUUCGGGAGCGCAGUGACAGGUGGUGCAUGGCUGUCGUUAGCUCGUGUCGUGAGAUGUUGGGUUAAGUCCCGCAACGAGCGCAACCCACGUCUUUAGUUGCCAGCAUUUAGUUGGGCACUCUAGAGAGACCGCCGGUGAUAAACCGGAGGAAGGUGUGGAUGACGUCAAGUCAUCAUGCCCCUUACAUCCUGGGCUACACACGUACUACAAUGCUACGGACAAAGGGCAGCAAGUUCGCGAGGACAAGCAAAUCCCAUAAACCGUGGCUCAGUUCAGAUCGUAGGCUGCAACUCGCCUACGUGAAGUAGGAAUCGCUAGUAAUCGCAGGUCAGCAUACUGCGGUGAAUACGUUCCCGGGCCUUGUACACACCGCCCGUCACACCAUGGAAGUUGGCCACGCCCGAAGCCGUUACUCCAACCCUUGUGGAGGAGGACGUCGAAGGUGGGGCUGAUGACUGGGGUGAAGUCGUAACAAGGUAACC